UACGGAGGGUGCAAGCGUUAAUCGGAAUUACUGGGCGUAAAGCGUACGCAGGCGGUUUGUUAAGUCUGUUGUGAAACCCCCGAGCUCAACUUGGGAAUUGCAAUGGAUACUGGCAGGCUGGAGUAUGGUAGAGGAAGGUGGAAUUCCCGGUGUAGCAGUGAAAUGCGUAGAGAUCGGGAGGAACACCAGUGGCGAAGGCGGCCUUCUGGACCAAUACUGACGCUCAUGCACGAAAGCGUGGGGAGCAAACAGG
rnacentral:rRNA from 1 species